rnacentral:lncRNA from 1 species
AGAACCCAUCUUCUGAGACUUUCCACAACAAAGAUUGCUAAAUCUUCUACAUGUUAUCGGAGGUGUUUGACAAAAUUGAUGCCCAAAGGCGAUAUGCAAGGGAUUCAAACUAGCCACCAGUUGACAUUAAUGAUGAGAUAUGGGCGAGGCAAAGUCAAGCAUAUCACAAUAUGGGUGGCCAGAGCACGGAGCACGUGGACCUAACUGAUGAAAUGAUCCCUCCUAUGCCUCCAACUGGGAAAUCGGAUGCCAAACAUUCAAAAAGCAAAGGCAAAGGGAAAAGGAAGACACCGGAAUCUUCAUCCACCGGGACGGCGACCUCCCGCCUGGUCUAAAUCGAACCUCCUACAAUAAUGCCAUAUCUUGGAUGGAUGCAACGUUUGCUUCCGAUCGGAGCACCUCCCAUAGCGUAGAUGCCCUACCACCCGCACCCGCAGGCUUCCUAUUGCUGAACCGCAGGUGAACACCAAGUUAAUUCUUCUCACUGGUAGGCUGAUAAACCCAAAGACAAGCUGCACACGAGGUUUUUCUACACUCCUCUAUUGGUGUAGCAGUCUCGCUGGUGUCCUCCAAAUGAGUAGUAUUUUCGUCAUCGACACUCGUUGAAGUCCGGCAAGAGUCUACGGUGGCUGAUAGUAGUGUCGUCCAUCACGGUGAGCUCUGCAACAGCUGCCCUUGUCCGGCCGCUACAAAAGCCCUCUACUUUCAGGUGCAUAAUUACCAGAACUGUUACAAGAUUAGCUCGGAUGUUUGAUUUUCCUUUUUUUUUGAAGUGGCAGUUUGCUAAAAUGACUGAGCAGUCGCUUUUCCCGGUACAUUCCUUUCCAUUUGGGUAUUUUUUUAAAUUGGUGGGAUUGUUGCUAAUUUUAUGGCCUUUGCGGUACAUUUGUAAUCUUUCUGAUCUGAGUAUACAGGAUAUUCUAAGAUUCACCUACUUGUGAAUAAUUUCAAUUGAAGUCGAGAGAACUCUGUGUGUUGUUAUGUGUAAAAAUUUCCUAUAGGUCAGAUCUUAUACUUAAAUUAGAUGCUAUUUAAUGAAAAUUAUCUUAUGACACGGGAUUUAAGUAUGAAUUAUGAAGACAAAAUAGUUCUGGUUUGGCCAUGAUUUAGUGUUUUUCCUGAUUACUUGAGUUUUUUUGUUUAUUGGAUGAACCAUAAUUGAGGCUUGUAAUGGAAAAAAGGCAAAAGCAAAUCUGGUAUUUUAGUUAGGAAUAUGUGUUGGUUUAGAGUGGUUGAAUGGCCAUUAUUUCCCUGUAAGAGCAUUUUUCGUAUUUGGAAUUCAUUUCUGGUUUAGAGUGAUUGAAGCUUGUAUAAGUCGCACCUCCUAGAUGUUGUGUGUAUGAAAUGGGAUGUUGUGUGUAUGGAACUUCCAAGUUUUCGAACUUUGCACUAUUUCUUGGUUUUUCUAUUGCAUUUUGUUCAGAGAAUUCAUACUGGAGGUUGGUCUGUUAGACAUCUUUAUUUAUUUAUUGGCCCUGUAGCAUGCAAUUAAUUUCACCAGGAUGAAUUUGCUAUUGUAUAUGCUGGUACUUUGAGAGUAAUUUCGUUUCCCCAGCCAAUGAAAGCUUUUAAAUUUUCUGGAGGUACUUGAGUAUUUAUUGCUUGUCGCCUGUUUAGUUGGUUGCUUUUUCUUAGGCCAUUAAUGGUACAAAUUUCUGCAGCUUAAACUAGCGAAUAAGAUGAUAGACUUGCAUGACAGAAUAGUUUUAAUCAUGUCAACAAGUUAUUUUUAUCGUCAAUAUCUGGUCUUAAAUGUUUGUUUUCCAGAUGAAGAUGUCAAUAUCUGUUUACAAACGAGUACAAUGUGCUGUUUGACCAUUUCUUUUAGUUGUAAAAACACUGGUUCUGGAUAUUAAGAUGUUUUUUUUCUUCUAUGCACAACCCUAUCUGUUCGGUCCAAGCAAUGCCAAAUGCUAAUGUGUUUUCACCGUAAUUAUAUACUAUGCCAAAUGCUAAUGUGUCUGUUGAAUUGAUUUGUUAUAUACUAUGGUAGCUUGACAUGGAAUUGACUGCAAAUAGCUAUCUUGGUUGAUUGUGGAAUUUUUCAUUUCUUUCUUUAGCUCAUUUUUCUGUUUUUUUUUUUAUAGAUUUAGGUAAUUUGGUGCUUAUUUCCAACAUUACUUAUCAUAGGCAUACAUUCUUCUGUCCACAGGUUUAUGCCGUCGUGCACUAGAUCCGUUUCUAGAGGUUUGUUUUGGGGUUUUUUUUCAACUUGCAUAUCAGAUUGUUAAGAAAUGGCUUGGCUAAUGUUUACUUUCGCUAACAGUCGGAAAACUCUUACUUCCUGAUCCUGUUACCACUAUUUGGUCCGAGUGUGGAGAGAACGACUUACAGCUUUCUAUCACCAAUUACUUCAAGGUAUUAUCUGACCAGUCUCUUUUUCCAACCCCGUCUAUAAUAUAAGAGUUAACUAUUUUGUGUGUCCUGUAUUGGGAUUGGCUAUCCUAUUUGUUCUUUGCUAUUAUUUAGACGUGAUUCACCUGUGUUAAUACUUCUAUUGCUAUAUAUGCAAUAAGAGAAUCCAUAGAUAAAUAUCUGUAUAAGAUUUUUGUUUACUUGCAUUGGGGCUAUAGAUAAAUUAGUGUUUACUUCCAUUGGGGCUAUACAUAAACUACUUGCAUUGGAUGCUAUAGAUGCCUUUCAAUUUCUGUUUAGCAUCCUUAAUUGCCAACUUUCGCUAAUCUAUUUGUCGUACAUAAAGUGUAAAAAAUCAAUGGCUGGCAAGGUUGGUUCAUCAAGGCAAGGUCGUGCCCAAUUUCCAAUAGAGCGAGAGCUUGAAUUUGCAGAAUACUUGGUUGAAAUUAAAUGGGAUAAUAGAAUGAACAAGGGCAACUUAAAGAGCGAGGUCUUCCCGGCAAUUGUUGAUGAAUUUGUCAAAAAAGGAUGCCACUUUGAUCCAAAUCAAAUCAAGGCGAAGUAUUAUGCAUUAAGGCAUCUGACACAAGAAUACAAUCACAUGCGGUUGAGGGUGACUGGGGCCGGAUGGGAUCCCCCUUUAGACUGUAACUAUGGACGAAAGCAAAUGGCAAGUUAUGAUUAAGGUAGAAAAUUAAUUUUUUGUAUUUCAUCAUAAGCUUAUAAAGUGUAAAAAGCUGUUUUUUAACAUCCUCUAAUGGCUAAUUUUUGGUGUUAAAUGUGUAGAAGAACCCAUCUUUUGAGACUUUCCACAACAAAGAUUGCCGUGUCUUCUACAUGUUAUCGGAGGUGUUUGACAAAAUGGAUACCAAAGGCAAUAUGCAAGGGAUUCAAAACCAGCCACCAGUUGACAUUAAUGAUGAGAUAAGGGCGAGGCAAAGUCAAGCAUAUCACAAUAUGGGUGGCCAGGCAUGGAGACACGUGGACCUGAUUGAUGAAAUGAUCCCUCCUAUGCCUCCAACUAGGAAAUCGGAUGCCAAACAUUCAAAGAGCAAAGGCAAAGGGAAAGGGAAGACUCUGGAAUCUUCAUUCGCCGGGACGGCGACCUCCGCCUGGUCUAAGUCGAACCUCCUACAAUAAUGCCAUAUCUUGGAUGGAUGCAACGUUUGCUUCCGAUCGGAGCACCUCCCAGAGCGUAGAUGCCCUACCACCCCCACCUGCUGCUACUCCAGCUCCUCCUCCUCCUCCAAAUUACGUGGAUGAUGACUCUUUCUCGGUGAUAAAGGCAGAUGCAGCCUUAAACAAAAUAGAAAGCUUGCCGGAUAAAGUAUUCAUUACAGCAGCUGUGAAGUUGGCUGAUUCCACGGACCAUCAGAGGAUGUUUCUGAGUCAAAAGAGUGAUGCUAGGAAACGGUUAUAUGCACUGAGUAUUGGGGGGCGAACUAGAUGAUUGAGACCUGCAUGUGCCUAGAGGUUCAUCUCCAGUUGGAAGGCUAUAAGUUGCAUGUUUUAAUGUAAAAUAUUUGUAUUUGUGAUUGAAGGAUGCUAGUUUUCCCUGUUGGGAAACGAACUUGCACUGGGGUUGUCUUAUUUCAUAGUUUGGAUCAUUUCAAGAUGAUUUGAUAAACUUUCGGCAUUUCGAAUAUGCACUUUUUGAGAGAAUUAAUAAUAAAUAGGAUUUCUACUUUAAUAUAA